UGAGCCAGAAGAUGUCUCGUGUGAAGGCUA
rnacentral:piRNA from 1 species